CUCCAGACACACUGAGAGGCCAUCUCCAUUGCAGCGGCUUUAGGAGAACCCUUUGCAACGGGGCUGUACGGACAUGGAUGUGUAAGGACAGCAAGCUUGGCUUAGGAACUAUCUCCAGUGCUGCUCCUAGCGCAGGGUGAGCUGUGCCUGCAGGUGGGUUUGUUCACAACUGGAGUGUGAGCUCCUUGGCAGUGGGUGGCUGUGCAGAGCAGCCGCACUGCGCUGCAUGUCCCGCUCUGGUCCCCAUGCAGGCAGAGGCACAGCCCUGCAGAGCGCUGGGCAGAGACCGG
rnacentral:lncRNA from 1 species